GGGAAAGGAGGAAAUUCUUUGAAUAAAGAAUUCGUCUCUUCCGAUCCUCCGUCCCUUCAUCCGUUCCAAAUUGUAAUUUAAAAUAAGGGAAGUAAAAUUCCAAUGAUGUGAGUUGUGAACUGAAGAAUCAAAUACGGGAUCCGAAUAGAUGAUACAACAACAAUUAAUUUUUUAGAAUAGUUUUUUUACCGGUUGUUGGAUGGAAAGUCUUUUUCACUCUCAAAUUUUUUUGGUAUAGUCUCAAAACUAGCUUUUUUUUGGACUGGCGGUCUCGGAGAUAAACUGAAGAACCGGCGCAAGGACGGAAUAAGAAAUCAUAUAAAAAGAUGGCCAACUAGUAACCUUUUCG
rnacentral:lncRNA from 1 species